GGCAGCGCGAGUUCGCGGUGGGUCUGGGGCGGACACAGGCUGUGCCUUGUGGGAGCCGAGGAGGAGCCAGGGGCGGAGGGCCUGGGGAGGAGAGCAGGCUCGAGCCCGUGGGGCAGUCUCCCUGCGCACGCUCUCUUGCCUGCCGCCAUGUAAGACGUGACUUUGCUUCUCCACCUUCCGCCACGAUUGUGAGGCCUCUUCAGCCACGUGGAACUGCUGAGGCUUCCAGGCCAAUGCUAAGAAGAGUGUGGUCCAGGGCCCUUGUCUCCUUUCCAUCUCCAGAGGAAGUCUUCCUGUGCCUCAGUAAACUUUCUGAUCUUCAUGCAAGUCCUGCGCCUGGCUGGGUGGGCUUUCCUAAGGCAAGUCCCUGUGUACUGUCCUGA